UCUACUAAAGGAUAACAGUCUUCCAUUGGUCUUAGGCACCAGAACACUUGGCGCAACUCCAAGUAGUAGAA